rnacentral:tRNA from 1 species
GGAGAUUUGGCUCAGUGGUAGAGCGCUUGCAUAGCAAGCGCAAGGCCCUGGGUUCGGUCCCCAGCUCCG